rnacentral:rRNA from 1 species
CAGUCGCCGCGGUAAAACGUAGGGUGCAAGCGUUAAUCGGAAUUACUGGGCGUAAAGCGUGCGCAGGCGGUUAGAUAAGCCAGAUGUGAAAUCCCCGAGCUCAACUUGGGAACUGCGUUUGGAACUGUUUAACUAGAGUGCGUCAGAGGGGGGUGGAAUUCCGCGUGUAGCAGUGAAAUGCGUAGAGAUGCGGAGGAACACCGAUGGCGAAGGCAGCCCCCUGGGAUGACACUGACGCUCAUGCACGAAAGCGUGGGGAGUAAACAGGAUCAGAUACCCCAGUAGUCCCUGUCUCUUAUAC